rnacentral:rRNA from 1 species
UACGUAGGGUGCGAGCGUUGUCCGGAAUUAUUGGGCGUAAAGAGCUCGUAGGCGGUCUGUCGCGUCUGCUGUGAAAUCCCGAGGCUCAACCUCGGGCUUGCAGUGGGUACGGGCAGGCUAGAGUGCGGUAGGGGAGAAUGGAACUCCUGGUGUAGCGGUGGAAUGCGCAGAUAUCAGGAGGAACACCGGUGGCGAAGGCGGGUCUCUGGGACGGUACUGACGCUGAGACGCGAAAGCGUGGGGAGCGAACAGG